rnacentral:rRNA from 1 species
UACAGAGGUCCCGAGCGUUGUUCGGAUUCACUGGGCGUAAAGGGUGCGUAGGCGGUUCUGAAAGUCUGAUGUGAAAUCUCCAGGCCCAACCUGGAAACGGCAUUAGAAACUACAGGGCUAGAGGCUUGGAGGGGGAACUGGAAUUCUCGGUGUAGCAGUGAAAUGCGUAGAGAUCGAGAGGAACACCAGUGGCGAAGGCGAGUUCCUGGCCUGUUCUUGACGCUGAGGCGCGAAAGCUAGGGGAGCAAACGGG